AGCCUUGGUUCUCCUUCAUUUAUACGAAAAAAACUCUUUCGCCUUUUACUAAAGAUUUCCGUGGAGGAGAAAACACAAUGGGUAAGGGUAUUUUUUGUCGCCGCCGGAUUUUCCUGGCGG
rnacentral:snRNA from 1 species